UUUAGAGGUAGUAUAUGAAAGUAUUCUUGUCUUACACACGAGAGGAGUUAUUUUAUUGGCCCUUUAAAA
rnacentral:tRNA from 2 species